rnacentral:tRNA from 1 species
UAUAUCCUAGUAUAAGGUGUACAAAAGUUUUUGAAACUUUAAGAAAUAAUCAAAUUUUAUUGGAUAUAA